GCUCAGGAUGAACGCUGGCGGCGUGCCUAAUACAUGUAAGUCGAACGGGGACAGUGUAGCAAUAUACUGUUCUAGUGGCGAACGGGUGAGUAACGCGUGGGUGACCUGCCCCGAAGCGGGGGAUAACGGCUCGAAAGGGCUGCUAAUACCCCAUGUGGAUCCGGGAGUUAGAGAGCCGGAUGUAAAGGCGCAAGCCACUUCGGGAGGGACCUGCGACCCAUCAGCUAGUUGGUCGGGUAAUGGCCUACCAAGGCGACGACGGGUAGGGGGCCUGAGAGGGUGGCCCCCCACAAUGGAACUGAAACACGGUCCAUACACCUACGGGUGGCAGCAGUAGGGAAUAUUGCACAAUGGACGAAAGUCUGAUGCAGCAACGCCGCGUGUGCGAAGAAGGUCUUCGGAUCGUAAAGCACUUUUCGGGGAGAUGAGGAAGGACAGUAUCCCCGGAAUAAGUCUCGGCUAACUACGUGCCAGCAGCCGCGGUAAAACGUAGGAGGCAAGCGUUAUCCGAAUUUACUGGGCGUAAAGCGUGUGCAGGCGGUUCGAUAAGUUGGAUGUGAAAUCUCCUGGCUCAACUGGGAGAGGUCGUUCAAAACUAUCGGGCUUGAGGGCAGUAGAGGGAGGUGGAAUUCCCGGUGUAGUGGUGAAAUGCGUAGAUAUCGGGAGGAACACCAGUGGCGAAAGCGGCCUCCUGGACUGCACCUGACGCUCAUACACGAAAGCUAGGGGAGCGAACGGGAUUAGAAACCCCGGUAGUCCUAGCCGUAAACGAUGUGAACUGGGUGUCGGCGGGGUAAAAGCCGCCGGUGCCGAAGCCAACGCGAUAAGUUCACCGCCUGGGGACUACG
rnacentral:rRNA from 1 species